rnacentral:rRNA from 1 species
GACGAACGCUGGCGGCGUGCUUAACACAUGCAAGUCGAACGGAAAGGCCCUGCUUUUGUGGGGUGCUCGAGUGGCGAACGGGUGAGUAACACGUGAGUAACCUGCCCUUGACUUUGGGAUAACUUCAGGAAACUGGGGCUAAUACCGGAUAGGAGCUCCUGCUGCAUGGUGGGGGUUGGAAAGUUUCGGCGGUUGGGGAUGGACUCGCGGCUUAUCAGCUUGUUGGUGGGGUAGUGGCUUACCAAGGCUUUGACGGGUAGCCGGCCUGAGAGGGUGACCGGCCACAUUGGGACUGAGAUGCGGCCCAGACUCCUACGGGAGGCAGCAGUGGGGGAUAUUGCACAAUGGGCGGAAGCCUGAUGCAGCAACGCCGCGUGCGGGAUGACGGCCUUCGGGUUGUAAACCGCUUUCGCCUGUGACGAAGCGUGAGUGACGGUAAUGGGUAAAGAAGCACCGGCUAACUACGUG